AUGAUCCCGACGCGGCUGCUCUGCUGCUGCUACUUGCUGUGGUUCAUCUUCAUCGCCGUCGCCCCGCGCACGAUCGAUUCCAAGCUGGUGACCACCCUCCCUGGCUUCGACGGCCGCCUCCCCUUCCGCCUCCACACUGGGUACGUGGAGGUGGACCAGGGCACGGAACUCUUCUACUACUUUGUCGAGUCGGAGGCCGGCGGCGAGGGGGACCCUUUCCUUCUCUGGCUCACCGGCGGCGACCACUGCUCCGUCUUCAGCGGGCUCGCCUACGAGAUCGGUCCCAUCAGGUUCGUCCUGGAGCCCUACAAUGGCAGCUUACCACGCCUGCACAUCAAUCCAAACUCAUGGACAAAGGUGGCACACAUCCUGUUCGUCGACUCACCGGUGGGUGCUGGAUUUUCCUUUUCCAAGCAACCCAAGGGGUACGAGGUCGGGGAUGUGUCCUCCUCAUUGCAGCUCCAUGACUUCCUCAUCAAGUGGUUCAGCGACCACCCCAAAUACCUGAAAAAUCCUUUCUAUAUCGGUGGAGAUUCCUAUGCUGGAAAACUUGUGCCAUAUAUCGUGCACAUCAUUUCACAAGGUAUUGAAGCAGGAAAUAGUCCCCGCAUUAAUCUUAAGGGAUAUCUAGUAGGUAACCCGUCGACUGGUGAAAGCAUCGAUAUAAGCUCUAAAGUGCCAUAUGCUCACGGAGUUGGUAUAAUAUCAGAUCAAUUAUACGAGACCAUAUUGGGGCAUUGCCAAGGACAGGACUACAUGUUUCCAACAAAUGAUUUGUGCGCCCAAGCUCUGGAUGAUUUCAAUCAUCUUUUGUCCGAAGUUCAGCAGGCCCAAAUUUUGUUGGACACCUGCGUUUUUGCGUCCGUUCCAGCCCGACCAGAAGCUGAUAGUGGGACCGAGUACUCGGGUGGCUCUGGUAGGAGGAUCCUAGUUGGAAAUCCGCCACCUCGCCCUCCAUUUGGAUGUAUCACCUAUGGGUACUACCUAUCGUAUUUCUGGGCAAAUGCGGAGGUGGCCCGAAAUGCUCUUGGGAUCAAGGAGGGGAGCGUGGAGGAGUGGGUGAGGUGCCACAACGGCGAUCUGCCCUACACAAUCGACCUCAGGAGCAGCAUUGAGUACCACCGGAACGUCACGGCCAAUGGUGGCUACCGUGCGCUUGUAUACAGCGGCGACCAUGACGCGAUGGUGCCGCACCUGGGGACACAGGCGUGGAUAAGGUCACUUGGCUUCCCCAUCGCCCACCAUUGGAGGGCGUGGCAUCUCCAUGGCCAGUCUGCUGGGUUCACCUUAACUUACUCCAACAACAUGACAUUCGCAACCAUUAAGGGCGGCGGGCACACCGCGCCGGAGUACGAGCCCGAGAGGUGCUUCGCCAUGUUUAGCCGAUGGAUACUCGGCGAACCACUCUAG
rnacentral:rRNA from 1 species